UCCUAUCAAAAAAUAAAAUGAAAAUUUUUAAACUUUUUAACAUAAAUAUAUUAAAAUAUAAGGAGAAUAAAAGUAACCAAUAAUUAUAUUUUCAGAUUCUUCGGAUUAUCAUGCGAAACAUUUUCAGGGACCUAUAUACAUGUUCACAUAUAAGGAUAUCGAUAAGAAAUUAGUAAAUGCUAAAAUUGGUGGCUAAUCUAUUGCUAGUUUAUUUUAUCUACAUAUUUAAUUGUUCAACGUUACAUAUAUAUAUAUGGUUGUCGUUAAUAGGUAUUUUUAGGUGCUGACUUAUUGUAUCAAAAACGAAAAUGAAUAUUUUAAAUAAAAUUUAACAAAAAUAUUUUAGGAUAUAAAGAAAAUAAAACUAACCAAUCAAUUGAAAACAGUUUUUCUGGAUAAUUCUAAAAAUAGUCUUCAAAGACCUAUAUAUAUGUAUAUGUUCAUACGUAGGGUUUCCUAAAAUACACACACAAAGCAUUUUUUUACUGUGAAAGUUUACAAUGUCGGCAUUGAAAUUUGCUAUAUUUUGUAUUGUUCUCAUUUGUCUUGCUAGUCUUCAUGAAUGUGCCAACCCGGAAAGAAAGCCCAAAGGAACAUGCUCUAAAACACCAAAGAAUGUUUGGUGUUGCAGUUCCACUACACACUGCCGAAGCACCAAAGCGGAUUGUGAGAAGAUAUGUAUCUGGUAGUAUCUGGGGCCGUUGAAUUUUACCAAAGAGAUUUUCAAUAAUUAUAUAUUCCAAUAAUUUUCAUAAUUCUAUUAUUCAAAAUUUAAAGAAUAAAUAGAAAUUCCUAUUCCACAGGAGCAGCUAGUAUUAUGUACUAAAUGUUUUGGAGUUUCUUUGAAAGAUCAAUAUAUAUAGUUGUAACUUUCUUCAA